GACGAACGCUGGCGGCGUGCCUAAUACAUGCAAGUAGAACGCUGAAGAGAGGAGCUUGCUCUUCUUGGAUGAGUUGCGAACGGGUGAGUAACGCGUAGGUAACCUGCCUUGUAGCGGGGGAUAACUAUUGGAAACGAUAGCUAAUACCGCAUAACAAUGGAUGACACAUGCCAUUUAUUUGAAAGGGGCAAUUGCUCCACUACAAGAUGGACCUGCGUUGUAUUAGCUAGUAGGUGAGGUAAUGGCUCACCUAGGCGACGAUACAUAGCCGACCUGAGAGGGUGAUCGGCCACACUGGGACUGAGACAAGGCCCAGACUCCUACGGGAGGCAGCAGUAGGGAAUCUUCGGCAAUGGGGGCAACCCUGACCGAGCAACGCCGCGUGAGUGAAGAAGGUUUUCGGAUCGUAAAGCUCUGUUGUAAGUCAAGAACGGGUGUGAGAGUGGAAAGUUCACACUGUGACGGUAGCUUACCAGAAAGGGACGGCUAACUACGUG
rnacentral:rRNA from 1 species